rnacentral:tRNA from 1 species
GGAGGCGUCGCAUAGCGGUCUAGUGCACAGUCCUGGAAAGACUGAGUCUGGGAAACCGGACCGAGAGUUCGAAUCUCUCCGCCUCCG